UUAGAAUACAGCCUCGGUAUCCCCUGCCUGUCGUAAGAGGCGACUAAAAGGGAGAUGUAAUAGAGUACGUCCUUAAGUACUUCCAAGUUCUUGUAAUCGAAUGGAAUGAUUGUAACGUCGAUGAUGAGAAAUGGUAGCAAAAAUAUGACGGAUAUAUAUGCGUUGAGAUUUGAAAAAGGCGCUUGAACGCAAACUUUCGUUGGGCAGAAAGGGGCCGUUGGGCAUUAGAGAAUGCCGCCCUGAAAAGAGGGAAACUUAUCAAUCAAUCAAUCAUUCAUACACCAAAAAUAUUUAUUGGACAUGGUACGCAAUUUCCGCACGAGUUUACUAGUUCAUUUAUCAACCUUGCCACAUUCUGUUUCACGAAAUUUAACUCGUCAGAGAAAGUCGAUGCAAUUUUAACAUAAUUUCAAUAAAUAUGUUUAUCAAGUCUUCAUUAAAAAACAAAAAACUAUUAAUAUCGUGGUGCCUGAAUUAAAGGACUAGAUCGGGGAGGAUCGUUUGAAAUUCAAUUGGUAUGCUGCACGAAAAUCAGGAUACCGUGGACGUCGGAAAACUCCCAUAAACCGUGACGAAAGUACAAAUUCGCCGCAACGUAAGUAGCAUACAGUGGCUGGUACAACGAUAAAUCUUUGUUUUGACGCCAUUAUAGAGGCUAACAGAGAGGACCGGAAGUAGUUGGAUGACUCUGCGAUCCGUCGCAUAAAAUUUCGAUCGAUUCGUUGGCGAACAUUCCCCGCACGCAUCUCGAAUGUCAACGCAAUUCCGUCGCGGUUCGCUGAAACUUUUAUAGGGUUCCAGCAACUUCCGGUGGUUGCCGCAGGGACUCUCUUUUGGAAACGAGCUCAUCGUCUGUUUCAGAAUCGUCAUAAAGUCGAAGGGAGACACAGAUUUGGUCGCAAGGGACGUUAUUUAAUUAUUUAAUCGGGUAUGCUGGGAUUUACUUUCUGGUAAAUGAUUAAUUACUUUGACUUUUGUUCAAUGAAACGUGGUAGAAAAUGUACAGAAAUUGCGGUAUUUUGUAAAAUACCAAAGGGUGAAACGUGGGACAUCGGGUUGAAAAGGCAGAAACGUUCUCAAUUAAAGGACAAAAUGCCGGAAAGUUUCACGAGACGGUUUUAAAGGGCAAGGAUUCCUAUUCGAUAGAAGAGGCUGUCGCUUAAGGAGCAGCUAUUUAGAAGAUUUCUCUCUGCUUCUUUUUGCGAUGACGAUUCGUAGCAGACGGUUCAAACCGGCAAAGCGAACCAGCCGACAGAAAGCACAUCAUUAAAGGAUGUUUCAGCGAUUACGAACGAACGAUAUAACGAGCACUAACUAUUUCCGGGGCUCGAAAGAUCAAGAAACCUUAUUGCAGCCGGAAACUUUGCCACUAGUUAAAAAUGACCGGAGCGUUCUAAAAAUUCAUAAACGAUGACUUUAAACUUGCUUUAAGCAAUCGCAUGUAAUUCACUGGGGUUUUGAAUUUUUAUGUUGGAGCUGGAAUUAGCGUCAGACAUUGUGGGGAUUAUUUUAACGGAAGGAGAUAAUAAAUUUUCUGUGUUGGCUGCACUGAGGAUGCACAGUGCAUCUGAAUUAGUAAUAUAAACGGAAAGGUACAGAUUCUAUACGUAAAUGGCUGAAAAGUAUUAAUAAGUACGCAUAUUAUAUUAAAUAAUAAAUAAUAAAUUCCAAUCAAGCGCCAUCAUCAGACAGUGAAUAUUAUAUUUUUAUACUUAAAUGUAUAUCCAUGUUUCAUAAAUGCAUAAAAUCUGCAGUCCAAAAAGAGAAAAUUUGAUUUAUAUUGUCGAGAAUAUAACGGACAUUGAGCGAAUUUAAAUCGGUGCAAACAUUCUGUCUAUCCUGUGAAAGAAGGAGGAAAGAGAACAUCAGCAGGAAGUGUUGUUAAAUAUUAACAAUGUAUCGCAGUUCGAACGUAUUCGAAUCUUCCGAUGCUCUUUCGCCUUUCAUUUCUGCAAGUGUGCUCUUUUGAUGCGUGAACUUUAAUAUAAUGCCUUCAGGAUUCUGCUUUUCGCAACUCUACCCUCCUGCAUUUCAUAUUUACUGAAAGAAUAUGAAAGGUACUUGUAAUUGCAAUCGCAGGAAUCAAUCGUUACCAGUGUAAUUCCGUGAAAUUCAAUCGCAAUGCUUCGAUUCAAUUCGCAUUGCGUAAUCGUGAAAUGAAUUAUUCUUCCGGCUGCUAUUCAUCGCAAAUGCAGUUUGUCGGAGAUUAAACAGAAUUAUAAACGUAGCUGUCGAUAUCUUUCAAAUUCACUGCAAAGGACCUCUUUUUUAAAUCAAAUUCUUAACCACUAUGGUUUAGAAAUAGGGUUUGGUUGGAAGCUAAUUUUUAAAUUUUCAAAGCUUUGAAUAAUUUUUUAUCUCUUCUUCAAAAGGUUUUUCUUACACAUGGAUACGUACCAUAAAAUUUUUCAUUAUUUUUUAGAAAGAUAAUAAAG